AUGCAGUGAUGACCAGAAUUUCUUCACCUGAAACUUGCCGUGAUGGCUUUUGAGCUUUUUAACCCUGAGCGUU
ensembl:snoRNA SNORD36 Small nucleolar RNA SNORD36